UUUCAUAAGGAGGAAGGAAAUGUUCAUUGCGGAUGCAUAACACCUAAGCUGGGGCUCUGAAAUUCUCAAAGAGCUUUAGAGAAAAGCCAGAAAUCCUUUUGACUGGUUCUUCCAUGCUUUUGCUGAACCUCCAGCCCUCUUGGGAGUAAAGCUGACAUGAAAUUGUCACUGUGAUGCUUUCAGAGACUUAUCACAACACUUGGAAGUGUGUAGCACAUGAGCAAUGCAGCUCAGAAUGAUGAAAAAGCAGCCAGGAGCAGCCUGUCACCCACAGAAUAAUUUAUCUAGCCUCAAGUCUUCUGCCAGAAGGCCAUCUCAAAAAAAAUGGCAUUCAAGAGCAGAUGG